GAGCAGCAGUGGGGAAUUUUGGACAAUGGGCGCAAGCCUGAUCCAGCCAUGCCGCGUGCAGGAUGAAGGCCUUCGGGUUGUAAACUGCUUUUGUACGGAACGAAAAGACUCCUUCUAAUAAAGGGGGUCCAUGACGGUACCGUAAGAAUAAGCACCGGCUAACUACGUGCCAGCAGCCGCGGUAAUACGUAGGGUGCGAGCGUUAAUCGGAAUUACUGGGCGUAAAGCGUGCGCAGGCGGUUAUAUAAGACAGAUGUGAAAUCCCCGGGCUCAACCUGGGAACUGCAUUUGUGACUGUAUAGCUAGAGUACGGUAGAGGGGGAUGGAAUUCCGCGUGUAGCAGUGAAAUGCGUAGAUAUGCGGAGGAACACCGAUGGCGAAGGCAAUCCCCUGGACCUGUACUGACGCUCAUGCACGAAAGCGUGGGGAGCAAACAGGAUUAGAUACCCUGGUAGUCCACGCCCUAAACGAUGUCAACUGGUUGUUGGGUCUUCACUGACUCAGUAACGAAGCUAACGCGUGAAGU
rnacentral:rRNA from 1 species